rnacentral:rRNA from 1 species
GGUGCUGCAUGGCUGUCGUCAGCUCGUGGUCGUGAGAUGUUGGGUUAAGUCCCGUAACGAGCCGCAACCCUUGUCCUUAGUUACCAGCACGUUAUGGUGGGCACUCUAAGGAGACUGCCGGUGACAAACCGGAGGAAGUGGGGAUGACGUCAAGUCAUCAUGGCCCUUACGGCCUGGGCUACACACGUGCUACAAUGGUCGGUACAAAGGGUUGCCAAGCCGCGAGGUGGAGCUAAUCCCAUAAAACCGAUCGUAGUCCGGAUCGCAGUCUGCAACUCGACUGCGUGAAGUCGGAAUCGCUAGUAAUCGUGAAUCAGAAUGUCACGGUGAAUACGUUCCCGGGCCUU